UCACGAGCAAACGAGAAUUCUAAAUAGAAUCAGGGUUUCAUUCGAUCCUCCGCUGAAGCGAGCCGCAGCUGUUCGACUCCUACGCUCGCCCCCGUCUUCGAUCUCUCUCUCUCUCUCGCGAUGGGUUCCGAGAAGAAGCUGUCGAACCGGAUGCGGGAUAUCAAGGGCCAGAACCUCGUCCGCAACGUCUCUGUGGCAGAGAGUCGCGAUCGCUUCACUAGAGCAGCUAAGAUCUGAUCCUUCAACUGGUAUCUAUGGCAUGGAUUUCUAUGUCGUCUUGGAGCGAGCUGGCUGUCGUGUGAGCCAUUAACACCGAUGCAGCAUCACCAAGGAGGACGCAAUGAAGUGGUUCCAAGUGAAAUAUGAGGGUGUCAUCUCCAACAAGGUUCAGGCAGUCACAGGUCCUUGGAGUUUGGUAUGACUAACCCUGAAAGUUGUUCUACAGAUAAAUUAGCGCUUGUCUUCUUUUUUCUCUUCAUCAGAGUUUUUUUUUUUACACAAAAAAGAAAUAAGCUACUGUUCCAAUUUUGUGUGACAAAGAAAUUUGUGCUUUUAGCAGUUGGAGAUGUUAUUUUGUUGCUAGUGUAUGACUUCAUUAUA